CAGCCAUGUGACGCCGGCACAGACUCACCUGCAUGAGGGCAGCGCUGCCCGCUUCCCACGAGGAGGACCUGAGACCGUGGAGGUCCAAGCCCUGGCUGGAGCAGACAACAAGGGCCCGGAUCGAUGCAGCACCCACCUGGCACCUGCUGGGGGCAUGAGUUUCAACGUGGAGGAGCAUUGCGCCCCUGGGAGGAGGCAGCUGCCUGGCUUUCCAGAAAGGCCAAAUGGAAGCAGGAUAUCAGAGCGAGAUGUGGAGGCGAUGCGUGAAGUCUCACACAGGGUGUGAUGGUGCCAGUUCCUGCAGUUAUGAGCACAGAAGACCGAGUACAGACCACCAGCAGCCCGCAAGUUUGGGCCGUGGGACCCCUACUGCAUCCGAGUGAAGUCCACAGCCUCGGGGGCACCAGGGCGGGCUUGGCGCACGGGACGCCCCACAGCCGCCAGCUCAGAGUGUGUGCCCGGGCUGCUCCGGCCCCGUGGCUUCCCUUGAGUCAGACCUGAAGAAAGGGUCCCUGACAGACCCUCCCUCUAGGCCACAAACACCUGGGUAGCACUUCCGCUCAGACCUCCAGGACCCGGAAGCCUUGGCCCACGGUGUAGAAUAUCAGGUCAACUGGAGCAGGUUCUGCUGAGGGUUAGAAUUAAAUGAGAGCACAUCUUGCUGCAGAACAACGGACCGGACGGAGAGCUCUGCCGACCUUUCCCCAGGAGCACAGUGCCCUGCUUGGGAAGUGGGGUGCAGGGCCCCCCCAGCCUGGGACCCAGGCCUGACCCUGCCAUCCAGGCCGUGGCCACAGC
rnacentral:lncRNA from 1 species